rnacentral:rRNA from 1 species
CGCCAGCCUGACGGAGCCAGACCGCGUGGGGGAGGAAGGCCCUUGGGUUGUAAACCCCUUUUCUCAGGGAAGAAACCUGACGGUACCUGAGGAAAAAGCCUCGGCUAACUCCGUGCCAGCAGCCGCGGUAAUACGGAGGAGGCAAGCGUUAUCCGGAAUUAUUGGGCGUAAAGCGUCCGCAGGGGGCGCAUCAAGUCUGCUGUUAAAGGCUGGAGCUUAACUCCGGUAGAGCAGUGGAAACUGGUGCGCUAGAGGGCGGCAGGGGUAGAGGGAAUUCCCAGUGUAGCGGUGAAAUGCGUAGAGAUUGGGAAGAACACCGGUGGCGAAAGCGCUCUACUGGGUCGCACCUGACCCUGAGGGACGAAAGCCAGGGGAGCG